rnacentral:rRNA from 1 species
AGGACGAACGCUGGCGGCGUGCUUAACACAUGCAAGUGGAGCGACGAACCGGGGCUUGCCCCGGGGCAGAGCCGCGAACGGGUGAGUAACACGUGGGUAACCCACCUCGAUGAUUGGGACAACCCGGGGAAACUCGGGCUAAUACCAAAUGUGCUCGUAGACCAUGAGGUCCAUGAGUAAAGAUAGCUUCGGCCUUCGCAUCGAGACGGGCCCGCGGCCCAUUAGCUUGUUGGUGAGGUAACGGCUCACCAAGGCGACGAUGGGUAGCUGGUCUGAGAGGACGAUCAGCCACACUGGGACUGAGACACGGCCCAGACUCCUACGGGAGGCAGCAGGUGGGAAUCUUGCGCAAUGCGCGAAAGCGUGACGCAGCAACGCCGCGUGGAGGAAGACGGUCUCGGAUUGUAAACUCCUUUCAGUUGGACGAAGCUACAAGUGGUUAAUAGCCAGCGGAGUGACGGUACCUGAAGAAGAACGCCCCGACUAACGUACGUGCCAGCAGCCGUA